AUAGACUUUAGCUAUACCAUCAAAGCCUUGAGUAGCAAGAAGAAGCUUGGUUAGUGUUUUGGAGUCAAAUAUUACUAGAUGUCAUGUGUAUGAGUGAGUAUGACAACUAGAACCAUAACCGGAUCUUAAAAACCUAAGUAUUGAAUCUUUGUUAGAAGAUACAAAGAAAAAGACUCUUACGGACUUCGACUACACUAUCAAAGCUUUGAGAAGCAAGAAGAAGCUUGGUUAGUGUUUUGGAUUCGAAUAUGACUUGAUGUCAUGUGUAUGACUCAGUAUAAACACUAGAACCGCAACAGGUCUUAAAAGCAUAAAU
rnacentral:sRNA from 1 species